UUCAAAGGCAUAUUGGUUGACCGUGUAGCGUUAGUGUGCUACAUGAAGUCAGAAUUCAACGCCAGGAACUCCGUGAUCCAGUAACGCAACAAUAGCUAGUGCAUAAAGCAUGAACAUUCAAACAGAGCCCCAUUUCACCGACAUGGAAUGGCGGACAUUUUUACAGUUUGGACAGUGCAGCAGACACUUAAUUGAGGCAGCCUUCAUAUUUAGUACAAUCAUGAACAUAACAAGGUUUAUUACUUCAUAUUAUUCAUAAAAAUACACUAAAAAUACUUAAAUGCAUGUUUUUUGCCAUUUUAUAUCUAUUUUUUAUUGGGAAUUUUGACUUUUUCAGGUAGAGGAAUGUCUGCAACUAAGCCGAGGGCCACUGGAUAAGGGUUGUUGAUGGUAAAACAGGUAGAGGAAUGUCUGCAACUAAGCCGAGGGCCACUGGAUAAGGGUUGUUGAUGGUAAAACAGGUUAAAGACUACAUGAGACUUUGACAGAUGGCGGGAAACCCUCAUCCACUGGUACGAACCCGGUAAAUUGAUGGCUGUAAAACAGUGACCGCUGAUUCGCAUCGAGUUCUUUCUUGCAAAACGCAUGACCCCCCUUUUUUAUUGUCUAAAUCAUUGCGACUUGGAAUGCUCUUUAAGAAAAGGUAUGGUUAUGGGGGUCUCUAUGCGCAAAAGUUUGACUUUAUUUUUUGUUGAAGUUAUUGCUUUUACAUUGAAUUUGUGUAGGAAAUCUUUUGGUAUAUUGUAACCUAAACUAGCUUUAGGUAAAAAUGAAAUAUCAUCUGCAAGUGCAAAAUAUGACUGGGAAAGCUGAUUUUUGGUCAUUUCUUAACAAAAGAGAAGAAAAUAAGUGCCUUAAAUGCAUGAAUUCAGAUAAUUUGACCUGGAAUAGUUGUUUUUCAAGUUGACCCCCACCCUGAUAUAGCCAAAUAAGGGCUAAAUUGCUUUCUGACUUGAAUUCAAAGGCAUAUUGGUUGACCGUGUAGCGUUAGUGUGCUACAUGAAGUCAGAAUUCAACGCCAGGAACUCCGUGAUCCAGUAACGCAACAAUAGCUAGUGCAUAA